ACUCCUACGGAAGGCAGCAGUGGGGAAUCUUGCGCAAUGGGCGAAAGCCUGACGCAGCGACGCCGCGUGGGUGACGAAGGCCUUCGGGUUGUAAAGCCCUGUGGGGUAGAACGAACUGGCAUCGGGCUAAUAUCCCGGUGUCUUGACGGUACUGCCUUAGCAAGCAUCGGCUAACUCUGUGCCAGCAGCCGCGGUAAUG
rnacentral:rRNA from 1 species